UACGUAGGGUGCGAGCGUUAAUCGGAAUUACUGGGCGUAAAGCGUGCGCAGGCGGUGAUGUAAGACAGGUGUGAAAUCCCGGGGCUCAACCUCGGAACUGCAUUUGUGACUGCAUCGCUGGAGUGCGGCAGAGGGGGAUGGAAUUCCGCGUGUAGCAGUGAAAUGCGUAGAUAUGCGGAGGAACACCGAUGGCGAAGGCAAUCCCCUGGGCCUGCACUGACGCUCAUGCACGAAAGCGUGGGGAGCAAAAGGG
rnacentral:rRNA from 1 species